CCUUCUCUCUGUUUUUGGCUGGUCGGGGCGGGCGGGAGCCGCCCUGGGCUGGGAUCACAUGAUAUUGUCUUCGCGCCACUUUCGUAAAACCCUUUUUAUUCCAGGCAGGGCUGCGCUCGGGCUCAAAGGUACCGCUGGCUCCUGCGCUUCGCUCGAGACCCUUCUGCGACGCUUUAGCUGGGCUGGAAGAAGGAGAAGACCUUUUAAAGUCGAAGAGUUUCUCUCCGGUGAUGGGCCUUGAGUUGUGCAAAAGUGCUUACAGUGCAGGUUUUUGAAAACUUCACUUAGAAAAAAACCCAACAAACAAACACCCCCAGCCCGCAGCCGAGGUGGCUGCUGGAGAAGUGUCUGAGAAGACGUUGGUCUUUGGAGCCUGGGUCAUCCUUCGCUGUGAGUGAGUUUGUGCCAUCCUGCUCCUGCUGCUGGAAACCUAAUUUCUGCCCAAAGCCAGGCCUGCGCCCGCAGAGCUGCAGCAUCUGUCGCUUUUAAAUCAACCGACAUUGUCCCAGUCAACUCCUCCUAGAUGUGCUUCUCCCUCGCUUGCUCUCUCAGGAGCUGACAGGUCACGAUGGAGUUUAAGGAUUGAAUGUGGGAAAAACAACCCCUCCACGAGCGUCAUUAUCCCGCUGAUAACAAGGGGGAAAGAAAAGGCUGUUUUUGGCUGCCGUGUCUGCUGUUUGCCUGAGGCUGCUUGGUGGUGGCGUGGAGAAGCCGUGAAUGGCAAAGCUCCUGCCGGGAUCCCCCUCUGCGUGUUGAGCCUCAGGAGAAUCUCGAUUUCCAGCUGCUCUGUCAGCUUCUGUGGGGUCUCAGCUUGUCUCCAUCGUCAUACCCUUGUGACACGGGGAGAUGCUUCACUUAGGAGCCAUCAGACCAAGAC